GGCCCUUAUGGGUAGGGCUUCACACGUCAUACAAUGGUCGGUACAGAGGGUUGCCAAGCCGCGAGGCGGAGCCAAUCCCACAAAGCCGAUCGUAGUCCGGAUUGUUCUCUGCAACUCGAGAGCAUGAAGUCGGAAUCGCUAGUAAUCGCAGGUCAGCAUACUGCGGUGAAUACCGGUUCCCGGGUCUU
rnacentral:rRNA from 1 species